UACGGAGGGAGCUAGCGUUGUUCGGAUAUACUGGGCGUAAAGCGCACGUAGGCGGCGCCGUAAGUCAGGGGUGAAAUUCCGGAGCUCAACUCCGGAACUGCCCUUGAAACUGCAGUGCUAGAAUCCUGGAGAGGCGAGUGGAAUUCCGAGUGUAGAGGUGAAAUUCGUAGAUAUUCGGAAGAACACCAGUGGCGAAGGCGACUCGCUGGACAGGUAUUGACGCUGAGGUGCGAAAGCGUGGGGAGCAAACAGG
rnacentral:rRNA from 1 species